rnacentral:rRNA from 1 species
UCGAAAGCGUGGGGAGCCAACAGGAUUAGAUACCCUGGUAGUCCCCGCCGUAAACGAUGAGUGCUAAGUGUUGGAGGGUUUCCGCCCUUCAGUGCUGCAGCUAACGCAUUAAGCCCUCCGCCUGGGGAGUUCGGCCGCAAGGUUGAAACUCAAAGGAAUUGACGGGGGCCCGCACAAGCGGUGGAGCAUGUGGUUUAAUUUGAAGCAACGCGAAGAACCUUUCCAGGUUUUGACAUCCUUUGACCCCUUUAGAGAUAGAGCUUUCCCUUUGGGGGCAAAGUGACAGGUGGUGCAUGGUUGUUGUCAGCUUGUGUUGUGAGAUGUUGGGUUAAGUUCCGCAACGAGCGCAACCCUUAUUGUUAGUUGCCAUCAUUCAGUUGGGCCCUUUAGCAAGACUGCCGGUGACAAACCGGAGGAAGGUGGGGAUGACGUCAAAUCAUCAUGCCCCUUAUGACCUGGGCUACCCCCGUGGUUCAAUGGGAAGUUCAACGAGUUGGGAAGUUGCGAGGGUAAGGUAAUUUUUUAAAGCUUUUUUCAGUUUGGAUUGCAGGCUGCAACUUGCCUGCAUGAAACCGGAAUUGGUAGUAAUUGCGGAUCAGCCCGCCGCGGUGAAUACGUUUCCGGGCCUUGUACCCCCCGCCCGUCCCCCCCCGAGAGUUUGUAACCCCCGAAGUCGGUGAGGUAC